rnacentral:rRNA from 1 species
AGUUCGGAUUGUAGUCUGCAACUCGACUACAUGAAGCCGGAAUCGCUAGUAAUCGCGGAUCAGAAUGCCGCGGUAAAUACGUUCCCGGGUCUUGUACACACCGCCCGUCACACCAUGGGAGCCGGAAAUGCCCGAAGUCAGUGACCCAACCGCGAGGAGGGAGCUGCCGAAGGCAGGUCUGGUAACUGGGGUGAAGUCGUAACAAGGUAGC